rnacentral:rRNA from 1 species
UACGGGGGGGCAAGCGUUGUUCGGAAUUACUGGGCGUAAAGGCUCGUAGGCGGCCAACUAAGUCGGACGUGAAAUCCCCAGGCUCAACCUGGGAACUGCGUCUGAUACUGGAUGGCUUGAAUUCGGGAGAGGGAUGCGGAAUUCCAGGUGUAGCGGUGAAAUGCGUAGAUAUCUGGAGGAACACCGGUGGCGAAGGCGGCAUCCUGGACCGAAAUUGACGCUGAGGCGCGAAAAGCCAGGGGAGCAAACAGG